rnacentral:lncRNA from 1 species
CGUGCUUCAGAGGGUAUUCUUUGCCUUAUAACAUGCUUCAAAUAUACAAAAUGAUUCUUGGGGUCACGCGCUUUUUUCAACAGAGAAGAAAAAUAAAAGUACUUGACCCCUCAAAAUUUUUAGCAGAUUUUAAGCACGUUUUGAAUAUAUUCGAUAAAUAUGCUAGUCUUGUAGUGAGUUUUCAACUGCGAGAAUUUUCUACUUUGCAAUCCCACCCUUCCUCUACGCCUAUAAAAGAGGUCUUACACUCCAUACUUCAUUAUCCCUCAAACAUCUUCUCCCCUAGCUUCUUUAUCCCUCAACUAUACAACAUUGCUCAGUGUUAAAAAUUUCGACCGCUAAUAAAAUUUGGACCGUUCGAGGUAUUCUUGAGUCAUCGUUGAUGGGAUAUUGCUCUGGGACGCACACAUUUCAAAUAUCCUACCGAGAUAAGACCAUUACUUCUGAAACCUAUCUUGGGGAAGUCAGGUUCCUAGGUGAUUUUUCUUUGUACGGUCACGGAUGAAAGUCUACGUAGAAGUCUCAACCGAUGGUUAUUAUGCAUUCAUGGAUCGGGGUAUAACGGGGGAGCCAGUUGAUGGUCGUUACGAGGCCAUGAGCUCUAACUUUUUGGGUACCUGGAAAUGUUGUCUUAUAAAUAUCAUACAAAAAUUUAAUGGCAUAAUAAUAUGAAAAAACAGUAAGGCUUCUCGCUAUAAUCAGCGUAAUUUUUUUCUCCAUUUCCAGACAGUCGGUACCUUUAACCUUCCUUCUUAUCCAAAGGCUAACACCACUAUGGACGCAGGAGAACUCUUAGGCAGGGAACGGUUGUUGUGAUGCAGUAAAGUUGAUGCUCCUUUUGGGGUGACAAUGGUUGUUGUUUUUAAACAACCUGUUAAUAACUACAACUACUGCUCAGUCGACCCGAGUUUGACCUCUACUGUGCCAAAACAUCUACUCUUCGCCUAAGAACCCUAUUGUGUACACCUCGGUGUCAACCUUCAAAUAAAAAUAAACGGUUAAAGAUAUCGACUGCUUGGAAAUAGAGACAAAAUUACAUUAAUUACACCGGAAAUCCCUUCAUUUUUCCCUAUAAUUAUGAACUCAAUCUUAUGUCUGGUAUAUAUAAGGCAUCAUUUGCAGGUAUCCAAAAAGCUUGAACUCGUGACCGCAUAAUGACCAUCAACUAGCCCCCGGUUAUACUCGAGUCUAUAUCGCAUCACGACCACUGACUAGAACCUCCACCUAGACUUCGACCCGUGACCGUAUCAAGCAUUGUCAUCCCAAAACUUAACUUCCCCAAGAUGGAUUUUUUAGGUAAUGGUCCUAUCCUGCCAUGACAUAUGAAAUGUAUGUGUUCUAAUGUACGUUAUCACAUUCCCGACCCCUCAAAUCUACCUAUAAACUUUUGCAGUUUCAACCUUAAACCCUUAAAAUCCUAACCUUACCAAAACCCUUAAAUUUAAUAUACUUUCCCUUUUUCUCUCAAAAAAGGUCUAUUUUUCUAAAUUUUAAAAAAAGGCCUAAAAGCCCAAAUAAAAAAAAUCGACAUAUAUAGUUAAUUUAGCCCAACUUUCUCUCUCCAAAAACAGCCUAAAAUCUCAAAUAAAAAAACCGACAUAUAUAGUUAAUUUAGCCCAACUUAUCAUUUAAGGAUUAUAAAAAAUGAAUCAUUUAUUCAUGAUUGCAUAGGAUUCACUAGACACUCAUCAAAUUCCAAGAUAAUCUUAUCCUUUUUGUCUUUUACAAUUUAGAGCCUUACGUGCAAUAAAUAACGAUGAGCAACUUUCACCAACUUCUAUAAAUGCGUUUUUUUGCUCUUUUCUGAACAAAUAUCAUUAGAAUCACGUUACCAACAGACACACGUCCUAAAGGAUAGAUACAUGGAUCAAUGCCCAUACAAAGGUUCCAAAAACCAAGUUCGUAAACAAAAGUGUAACCUUGUACCUUUUUAUAAAAGAAGAAAUGGAAGAGGAAUCAUCUCCUAUAACACAGUCCUCAGCCAUUAAUGGGAACCAUUAAUGUGAAUGGUUCCUUUUACCUACGGUCCUCCAUUUCCACUGGUAUUCUCAAUGAUAAACAAAAGGGAAAUAAUUAGGCGCUAAAAAAAGGAGUUCAAGCUCUCGACUUACAUAGAUUUCAUAUGAUGCCCGAACAUAGGGCAUUCAUUUUCAUUUUGAAUUUCUACCACACUUCAUGACUCGAGAUUCAAAAUUGGAUUGGUGUAACCGAUAAGAUCUUUAGGAUGUAAACGUGGCCUUUGAAUGUUGUGUUGGACUCUUGCUAGACAUUGACGCUCCUGUUGAGCCUUCAAUCGAGCAGCUUUACGAAUCUUCAAAAGGAUAGUUCUACCCCUGCCUUUGCUUGAAGAACCUUUCUCCCAUUUUCAGGUGAAAAUAGUCUCGUUUAUGUACUCCUUGUCCUUCAUGAGUAUCGGAUCGACUGUAUUUAUGUUGUUGUCCAGCACCAUCAAUUACCUGGUUGGGCCUCCACAACCUUGAGAUUUUAUGGAUCGUAAGGGUCGUAUUCGACCUUUUUCUCUAAGCACCAGAAGCUUUCACUUUCCUCUUGAUUGCUUCUUUAUCCACCUCUUGAUUAUUUUUUGCUCUUACCCUUUUAUUGUUAAAUCUAAAAUUGACCAAAGAAUUAUUUGGAAGUUUACAUUAUUUGUUUAAAAAUUAUAUAUUUGUUGCACUACUUUUGUUUUGUUUCUCAUCUCCUAGAUCCAGUUUAUACUUCAGGCCAUACAAAACAUUUAUAAUAUUUUGUACUUAAGCGAAGUCUCAACCUUUUGGCUAUUUUACCCAACUAACUUUAAAAAAAUAAAUAUUUACAAAAAUGAUCCUAUUUGAAAAACUAUGACAGAAUUAACUUGAAAUUUAUAGAUAUUAUAGUUGUGCGCCAUGUAUUGGGGUUAUAAAAUAAAAGAAUCCUCUUUUUUAGAGUCUUAUUUAUUAUGAUAAGAAAGCGCUCUUAGUUCAGUUCAGUAGAACAUGGGUCUCCAAAGCCCAACGUCGUAAGUUCAAAUCCUACAGAGCGUGAUUCCGCUCUUGUUAGGUCGAAAAUUAC